rnacentral:rRNA from 1 species
UACGGAAGGUGCAAGCGUUAAUCGGAAUUACUGGGCGUAAAGCGCGCGUAGGCGGCUUCGUAAGUCGGGUGUGAAAGCCCCGGGCUCAACCUGGGAACUGCGCUCGAUACUGGUAGUCUCGAGUCCGAGAGAGGUGAGUGGAAUUCCGAGUGUAGAGGUGAAAUUCGUAGAUAUUCGGAGGAACACCAGUGGCGAAGGCGGCCAUCUGGACCGGUACUGACGCUAAGGCGCGACAGCGUGGGGAGCAAACAGG